CUCCCCGUCGCCGCACACGACGGCAUCUCAUCCCUCCUCCCUUCCGUACAAGCUGAUGUCGCCGCCCUCCGCAUCCCUUGCCCGUCUCGUGGCAUACCCCUUCCACUACCGAUUGGAUCCCAGCCGCACCCCAAUCCCUGAUGACACGGCUGUAUUCUCGAUAUUGCGCCUGGAUGCAGCCGCUCCAGGCCAUCCACUGUCCCGUCAUCAAUGCCUUCCCUCACCAAGCGCCUGCACAUCCCUCCUCUGCAUUGUUGGUGGCGCAAGCCGGCCCCUCGCUUCGAUGUUGGCUCUCUUUGAACGGAUCGGAUACAUGUGCGCUGGUUCCCGGUGAGUGGUCUUGAACUUUGUAGCCUUUUGGAAAUGGAAUCCAGCAACUAGACGGCAAUAAUCAAGCAGCAGCUCACUUCCCUAGCCUACAGUGGCAGCAAGGUACGUAUGCUCAUCCCAACCCCGGUGUUUUCUCUGCAUUUUAUUUAUACCUGCAAUGCCUAUGAUUUAUGUCUUGAUGCUGAAUCCUAGAGACUGAAAUACACUGAACUCAGGAUAAGUGCUACUUCCUAUUCACGGAUCUGCAGUGAUUGAUUCAAUCCCCCGUGGAUGCGCUUUAGCACUCACAUAUGAUCUAUUAGUGGAUGCGCUUUGACAGUUGCAUUGGAUACAGGUUUGUUGAUCCACUAAUAGAUGGCAGUACCCACAAAUAAUGCAAGACCUUGUGAAAGAGAUGUUGCACAGGUUCACUCCUGGUCAAGCUAAAGUGGUCAAGGAACAAAACUAACUUCGCAAAGGGGCAGAAAUUGCUGCAACAGACACUGACUAGCUACUCAGUCGAUUUGCGGGUUACUUGUGCAUGUGAAUUUCCUGUCUUAAGCUGCAGGUUUUACAUCAAUAUAUAUAAUAUAUAUUGCGCUUCAUCCUUAAUUUAUAGCCGAAACUUUGCAGUUGAGCGAAAUGGCUAACCGAUUGGACCAAGGGCGAAUUCUAGAUGGCUUUAUAUCGUCCUGAGGUGGAUGUAUUGAUGUGUGCACUACAUUGGUCAGAGGAAUGGAUUAACCAGGGAACCUCACCCGCAAACACUACUUGCGGGAUGCCACAAGGGUUUGGUACUACCGGAGUUACCUUAGCAAGCAGAAGAAAGCCAUGAAUGGUGGCGCCAAUGUUCUUGGCUACUUUGCAUGGUCUCUCCUGUACAACUUUGACUAGAAUGGCACCCCUCACAUUCCUCUAUAUUACCUCUCCCAAAAAUAACCUCCAAUGUUAGGUCGCUGGUGAGCUCUCUUCAGUUCGCAGAUUCCUGGAUAUUCAUAUGGUUUGAUUUGAAGCCUCUGCCAUCGUUGCUUGUUGCAUGUCUUUGUUUUGUUAUUUGUAAUGUUAGUUGCAAUAACUUAUGAAUCACAUGGCAAGUCAAUGGUUUAUUACAAUUUUCUCUUUUGAAAACAAGAUUAUUUACGUGAAAUGAGGUUGCUUCUGUGCUUGCAGGACUUGAGCGAAAAUGUUAAAUUACGUCUUUCCACGUGAGAUGACACGAAAUCACAAAUGAAGAUAAGUACAAUGCAUGCAAUGCACUUCUGUCUUUGAGAAUUCUGAAACGGCAAGGAGUCUAUUAGUCUGUACAAUGCUUAGUAGCUUAUUAGUUUAUAUGUAUUGAAGCUAAUGGGAGUCACCAAUGCAAGCGGGACUGAACUUUGAUCACGUUGCAGUUAGAUAAUGUUUCCAGACCAUAUGCCAGCUCAAGGAUGCGUUUUUCAGAGAAUGUGAAAACAUCCACUUGUUCAGUUCCGUUGAGCUUGAAACAACCACUAUGGUUUUAUUUUCUUGUUUCGGUUGUAGCUUCAAUCUUUGUGGUUUUAUUAAUGAAAGUAAGGAGGA